rnacentral:rRNA from 1 species
UCAGGAUGAACGCUAGCGGCAGGCUUAACACAUGCAAGUCGAGGGGCAGCGUGGAGUAGCAAUACUCUGACGGCGACCGGCGAAAGGGUGAGUAACGCGUGAGCAACAUGCCCGGUAGAGGGGGAUAGUCGAUGGAAACGUCGCGUAAUACUCCGUAACAUAGAGAACCGCAUGAUUUUCUAUUAAUAGAUUUAUCGCUACCGGAUUGGCUCGCGUACCAUUAGCUAGUUGGCGGGGUAACGGCCCACCAAGGCGACGAUGGUUAGGGGUUCUGAGAGGAAGGUCCCCCACAUUGGAACUGAGACACGGUCCAGACUCCUACGGGAGGCAGCAGUGAGGAAUAUUGGACAAUGGCCGAGAGGCUGAUCCAGCCAUGCCGCGUGCCGGGAAGACGGCCCUAUGGGUUGUAAACCGCUUUUGUUGGGGAGCAAUAAGGGUCACGUGUGACCCGAUGAGAGUACCCAGCGAAUAAGCAUCGGCUAACUCCGUGCCAGCAGCUGC